UCCGGUUUAUCACCGGCAGUCUCCUUAGAGUUCCCGGCAUGACCCGCUGGUAACUAAGGACGAGGGUUGCGCUCGUUACGGGACUUAACCCAACAUCUCACGACACGAGCUGACGACAGCCAUGCAGCACCUGUCACUCGGUUCCCGAAGGCACUCCCGCAUUUCUGCAGGAUUCCGAGGAUGUCAAGAGUAGGUAAGGUUUUUCGCGUUGCAUCGAAUUAAACCACAUGCUCCACCGCUUGUGCGGGCCCCCGUCAAUUUCUUUGAGUUUUAACCUUGCGGCCGUACUCCCCAGGCGGAGAACUUAACGCGUUAGCUUCGGCACUAAGGAGACAAGCUCCCCAACGCCCAGUUCUCAUAGUUUACAGCGUGGACUAC
rnacentral:misc_RNA from 1 species